GUCUGCCCACUGAUAAUAUUAAAGGGCCGCAGUAUAUUGACUGUGCAAAGGUAGCAUAAUCAUUAGCCUCUUAAUUAGGGGAUUGAAUGAAUGGCUUAACGAUUUAGUUUUUUAUUACUCAUAUAAUAAAAUUUAAUUUUUUGGUGAAAAUUCCUUGUUGAUCUUUAAGGACGAUAAGACCCUAUAGAUCUUUAUUUUAGGAUUGUAAUUCAAUUUAGUUGAUAUAAAUAUUUAUGAUUAUAUUUUUUUACUGGGGCAGUAGAAGAAAUAUUAUAUUUUCUUUGUAGUUUUUACUAAGAGUGUUUUUAAAACUAUAGUUUUAAAUUUUAAAGUUACCUUAGGGAUAACAGCGUAAUAGGUUUAGUGAGUUCAUAUUAAUAAACUUUCUUGCGAC
rnacentral:rRNA from 1 species